AUUGAACGCUGGCGGCAGGCUUAACACAUGCAAGUCGAGCGGAGAUGAGGUGCUUGCACCUUAUCUUAGCGGCGGACGGGUGAGUAAUGCUUAGGAAUCUGCCUAUUAGUGGGGGACAACAUUCCGAAAGGAAUGCUAAUACCGCAUACGUCCUACGGGAGAAAGCAGGGGAUCUUCGGACCUUGCGCUAAUAGAUGAGCCUAGGUCGGAUUAGCUAGUUGGUGGGGUAAAGGCCUACCAAGGCGACGAUCUGUAGCGGGUCUGAGAGGAUGAUCCGCCACACUGGGACUGAGACACGGCCCAGAUUCCUACGGGAGGCAGCAGUGGGGAAUAUUGGACAAUGGGGGAAACCCUGAUCCAGCCAUGCCGCGUGUGUGAAGAAGGCCUUAUGGUUGUAAAGCACUUUAAGCGAGGAGGAGGCUACUGAGACUAAUACUCUUGGAUAGUGGACGUUACUCGCAGAAUAAGCACCGGCUAACUCUGUGCCAGCCGCCGCGGUAA
rnacentral:rRNA from 1 species